CAGUGUGGAGUUUUUGAAGACUUCCUACCUGGUCACCCCAGGCCUUCCUCAUGGUCACUGCUGACCCCAAGGCCAUCUGUGUCCAGCAGGAGCUCCCCCCGUAUUUGAGCUUCCCUUUUACAUCUUUCAGCUCUGCUGUGUGCUGCUGAACUUGAUCGUAGUGAAUGUUCUCCCCAUCAAAACCAUCUGUUUAUGCCUCUCCACAUUGCUGCUUUCCUUGGCAGCUCAGUCAGAAUGUAGGUUUUAAGGGGACCUCCGCAGCCGGGGGCCGCUCUAUGCUUCGGCUUCUUCACCUGCAAAGUGGGGAAGACAGUGGCAGCUGCCUCCCAGGGCUGUGACGAUCAAAUGGUUGAAUGUAGAAAAAGCACGUAGAGUGGGCCCCAUGAGACUUAGGAACAACUUGACUCU
rnacentral:lncRNA from 1 species